rnacentral:rRNA from 1 species
UACGGGAGGCAGCAGUAGGGAAUAUUGCACAAUGGGCGCAAGCCUGAUGCAGCCAUGCCGCGUGUAUGAAAAAGGCCUUCGGGUUGUAAAGUACUUUCAGUCGUGAGGAAGGUGUUAAGGUUAAUAACCUUAGCAAUUGACGUUAGCGACAGAAGAAGCACCGGCUAACUCCGUGCCAGCAGCCGCGGUAAUACGGAGGGUGCGAGCGUUAAUCGGAAUUACUGGGCGUAAAGGGCACGCAGGCGGUUAAUUAAGUUGGAUGUGAAAUCCCCGGGCUUAACCUGGGAAUGGCAUUCAAGCUGGUUAGCUAGAGUCUUGUAGAGGGGGGUAGAAUUCCAUGUGUAGCGGUGAAAUGCGUAGAGAUGUGGAGGAAUACCGGUGGCGAAGGCGGCCCCUGGACAAAGACUGACGCUCAUGUGCGAAAGCGUGGGGAGCGAAACAGGGAUUAGAU